UACGGAGGGGGCAAGCGUUGUUCGGAAUCAUUGGGCGUAAAGGGCGCGUAGGCGGCUGAUCAAGUCGGGUGUGAAAUCCCUCGGCUCAACCGAGGAACUGCAUUCGAUACUGGUCGGCUAGAGUCCGGGAGGGGAUGGUGGAAUUCCCAGUGUAGCGGUGAAAUGCGUAGAUAUCAGGAGGAACACCGGUGGCGAAGGCGGGUCUCUGGGCAGUAACUGACGCUGAGGAGCGAAAGCGUGGGGAGCGAACAGG
rnacentral:rRNA from 1 species